rfam:Mesocricetus auratus contig046290, whole genome shotgun sequence.
GUCGGGCGCGGUGGCGCACGCCUGUAGUCCCAGCUACUCGGGAGGCUGAGACAGGAGGAUUGCUUGAGUCCAGGAGUUCUGGGCUGUAGUGCGCUAUGCCGAUUGGGUGUCCGCACUAAGUUCGGCAUCAAUAUGGUGACCUCCCGGGAGCGGGGGGCCACCAGGUUGCCUAAGGAGGGGUGAACCGGUCCAGGUCGGAAACGGAGCAGGUCAAAACUCCCGUGCUGAUCAGUAAUCCCUAAUCUUAAUCAGGGCCAGGAAAGACUAGAUCUGCUUUCAUGAGACUAAAACUUGGCUUUG